AGCAUUCUUUAUCGACUUCGGACCCGCAUCGAUGCCACGGGCCUGGACGGCCUGCACUCGAUGGGGUAGCGAGAGUCAUUCUUAUCGAGGGACUUGAUCGGAGCAACCGGAGGCCGAGACCCCCCCACGUCCGCUUAAUUUUCCACAUCCGGGAGCACGAGCAGUUGUCCUGUGGACCGAGACAGCCACGACGAAAGUCAGAGGAUAUGUCCGGGACACGGGGACUGCUUUCGAGGCCCGCAUUGCAGCCGCAAAGCCACAAGGAGGACAGGUGCGGG
rnacentral:misc_RNA from 1 species